rnacentral:rRNA from 1 species
CUGGUGAGUAACACGUGGGAAACCUGCCCACCCCUCGGGGGAUAACACCUGGAAACAGAUGCUAAUACCGCAUAACAACUUGGACCGCAUGGUCCGAGCUUGAAAGAUGGCUUCGGCUAUCACUUUUGGAUGGUCCCGCGGCGUAUUAGCUAGAUGGUGGGGUAACGGCUCACCAUGGCAAUGAUACGUAGCCGACCUGAGAGGGUAAUCGGCCACAUUGGGACUGAGACACGGCCCAAACUCCUACGGGAGGCAGCAGUAGGGAAUCUUCCACAAUGGACGAAAGUCUGAUGGAGCAACGCCGCGUGAGUGAAGAAGGGUUUCGGCUCGUAAAACUCUGUUGUUAAAGAAGAACAUAUCUGAGAGUAACUGUUCAGGUAUUGACGGUAUUUAACCAGAAAGCCACGGCUAACUACGUGCCAGCAGCCGCGGUAAUACGUAGGUGGCAAGCGUUGUCCGGAUUUAUUGGGCGUAAAGCGAGCGCAGGCGGUUUUUUAAGUCUGAUGUGAAAGCCUUCGGCUCAACCGAAGAAGUGCAUCGGAAACUGGGAAACUUGAGUGCAGAAGAGGACAGUGGAACUCCAUGUGUAGCGGUGAAAUGCGUAGAUAUAUGGAAGAACACCAGUGGCGAAGGCGGCUGUCUGGUCUGUAACUGACGCUGAGGCUCGAAAGUAUGGGUAGCAAACAGGAUUAGAUACCCUGGUA